GACGAACGCUGGCGGCGUGCUUAACACAUGCAAGUCGAACGAUGAAGCCCUUUCGGGGGUGGAUUAGUGGCGAACGGGUGAGUAACACGUGGGUAACCUGCCCUGUACCCUGGGAUAAGCCUUGGAAACGAGGUCUAAUACCGGAUAUGACCUGCUCUCGCAUGGGGGUGGGUGGAAAGUUUUGGCGGUGCAGGAUGGACCCGCGGCCUAUCAGCUUGUUGGUGGGGUGAUGGCCUACCAAGGCGACGACGGGUAGCCGGCCUGAGAGGGCGACCGGCCACACUGGGACUGAGACACGGCCCAGACUCCUACGGGAGGCAGCAGUGGGGAAUAUUGCACAAUGGGCGAAAGCCUGAUGCAGCGACGCCG
rnacentral:rRNA from 1 species